AAUUUGAAAUCUGGCCUCGUGCCCGAGUUGUAAUUUGUAGAGGAUGCUUCGGCGCGGCGCCUCCCGAGUGCCCUGGAACGGGACGCCACAGAGGGUGAGAGCCCCGUAUGGUUGGACGCCAAGCCUAUGUAAAGCUCCUUCGACGAGUCGAGUAGUUUGGGAAUGCUGCUCAAAACGGGAGGUAAAUUCCUUCUAAAGCUAAAUACCGGCCAGAGACCGAUAGCGCACAAGUAGAGUGAUCGAAAGAUGAAAAGCACUUUGAAAAGAGGGUUAAACAGCACGUGAAAUUGUUGAAAGGGAAGCGCUUGUGGCCAGACUUGGGCCCCGGGGAUCAGCUGGCGUUCUCGCCAGCGCACUCCGCGGGGCCCAGGCCAGCAUCGGUUCCCCUAGGGGGAUAAAAGCUCCGGGAACGUAGCUCCUCCGGGAGUGUUAUAGCCCGCUGCAGAAUACCCCUCGGGGGACCGAGGUACGCGCUCCGCAAGGAUGCUGGCGUAAUGGUCAUCAGCGGCCCGUCUUGAAACACGGACCAAGGAGUCAAGCAUUAGGGCGAGUGUUUGGGUGUCAAACCCGCACGCAUAAUGAAAGUGAACGCAGGUGAGAGCUUCGGCGCAUCAUCGACCGAUCCUGAUGUAUUCGGAUGGAUUUGAGUAGGAGCCUUACCGCUUGGACCCGAAAGAUGGUGAACUAUGCCUGUAUAGGGUGAAGCCAGAGGAAACUCUGGUGGAGGCUCGCAGCGGUUCUGACGUGCAAAUCGAUCGUCAAAUAUGGGCAUGGGGGCGAAAG
rnacentral:rRNA from 1 species